CGCGACGCGGGGGCGCUGCGCCGCCGGAGGGACCGGAGCUCUUUUCUGCAGAAACCUCAUUCCGCUUGUUUCUGAAGCCAGCGGGGCUCACGAGUGACGCCCCCGUCCAAGGCCCAGAACCCCGACCGUUAACAAGGUCCAAGAGCAGAGACCAGGCCUGCCCUCGCACUGGUGGAGGGAUGCCCAUGGACACCCUUCGGCACAUCUAUGGGGGAGAGGCGGCCCUGAGACAGAUGUGGGCACCAUGCCAGGGAGGAGACGGAGCGAGAGGCCUGUGGAAGAUGCUGCAGGGGGGCAGGGUCUUCCUAGAGCUGGGCCUGAUCUUCCCAAAACUGGGAGUGGAGAAUAGCCCCAACUGCUCCCUCCCUGUGGGGUCCUGGGCUGGGCUGGCUGCCACCCUGGCAUCAGUCUCCCAAGCCUUGUGGGGGCCAAAGGCUAGUGCCCUGCAGGGUCAGGGUACUCAGCUUUGUACCUUCUUGCUGCCCUCAGCCUUUUUAUUUUUGCCAACUCCUCAGCUUCUUCACCCACUUGUCGGCUCCCUGGAGGUCCUGGGCUUUUUGCUAGAAAAUAGGACAUGCUGGUGGUGUUCU